GAUGAACGCUGGCGGCGUGCCUAACACAUGCAAGUCGAGCGCGACUGAUUUGAUGCUUGCAUCAUUGAAAGUUGACCGGCGCACGGGUGCGUAACGCGUAUGGAACCUGCCUGUCAGAAGGGAAUAACCCGGUGAAAGUCGGACUAAUACCCUAUAUGCUCACGAGAGGCAUCUGCCUUGGUGAGGAAAGAUUUAUCACUGACAGAUGGACAUGCGUCCCAUUAGCUUGUUGGUAGGGUAACGGCCUACCAAGGCAACGAUGGGUAGGGGAACUGAGAGGUUUAUCCCCCACAUUGGUACUGAGACACGGACCGA
rnacentral:rRNA from 1 species